GGUUGGUGUGUUAGCGCGCAAGCGCAACAGCUCCUGGGUGGGGCUCUGGAAGCGGGGAGGGUUUAUGCUUUUGUUUUACAUAGCAGGUGAGUUAACUGAACCAUCUCCUCCGGCUCUACCUGGCCUCUGAAGAACUAAGAAGACAUAACAGCCUUCGAUCAGUCAGUUUGAACCCAGCAAAGGAACCAGAACUUUGCUAAUCAGAUGGAGAAGCCAAAAAGUAACUCUGCCAAAAGAAAAGGAUUUCUUUCUUGAGAGCUCUCCAUCCUUCCUGAGUCCACUUCCUCUGCCACGUAUGGGGAUCCCUUAUUUGAAGAGGAAUGCAAACUUUUGCCUCUUUGUCGUGCUAAGCCCUCCCCAAGUUUCAUUCAUCUUCCAGCAGCCAACCCAGCCACUUGUCAAAACAAUCAGUCAGCAAAGCUACAAACAGGAGUCGACAUUAAAAAGCCCCAGGAUUGCUUAGGUCUGCUUGAGUGUAUGCACGCCAAUCUCCAACUUCAAACCAAACUUGCCCAACAACAGAUGGCCAUCCUAGAAGAUCUACAGUCCUCCAUGACUCUGCUGAUUCCUGGGGGGGAGGGUAAGGACUCUAUGCUGCCAGCUAUACGUCCAAAUUUGCUGUUGACUUGCCAACCUCAAAUCAGUAAAUGAACUCUGGGACC